ACGUAGGGUGCGAGCGUUAAUCGGAAUUACUGGGCGUAAAGCGUGCGCAGGCGGUUUUGUAAAACAGAUGUGAAAUCCCCGGGCUUAACCUGGGAACUGCGUUUGUAACUACAAGACUAGAGUGUGGCAGAGGGGGGUAGAAUUCCACGUGUAGCAGUGAAAUGCGUAGAGAUGUGGAGGAAUACCGAUGGCGAAGGCAGCCCCCUGGGAUGACACUGACGCUCAUGCACGAAAGCGUGGGGAGCAAACAG
rnacentral:rRNA from 1 species